rnacentral:rRNA from 1 species
CGCUGGCGGCGUGCCUAAUACAUGCAAGUCGAGCGGACUUGCUGGAGCUUGCUCCAGCAGGUUAGCGGCGGACGGGUGAGUAACACGUGGGCAACCUGCCUGUAAGACUGGGAUAACUCCGGGAAACCGGAGCUAAUACCGGAUAGUAUCUUGAACCGCAUGGUUCAAGUUGGAAAGACGGUUUCGGCUGUCACUUACAGAUGGGCCCGCGGCGCAUUAGCUAGUUGGUGAGGUAAUGGCUCACCAAGGCAACGAUGCGUAGCCGACCUGAGAGGGUGAUCGGCCACACUGGGACUGAGACACGGCCCAGACUCCUACGGGAGGCAGCAGUAGGGAAUCUUCCGCAAUGGACGAAAGUCUGACGGAGCAACGCCGCGUGAGUGAUGAAGGUUUUCGGAUCGUAAAACUCUGUUGUUAGGGAAGAACAAGUGCGAGAGUAACUGCUCGCACCUUGACGGUACCUAACCAGAAAGCCACGGCUAACUACGUGCCAGCAGCCGCGGUAAUACGUAGGUGGCAAGCGUUGUCCGGAAUUAUUGGGCGUAAAGCGCGCGCAGGCGGUUUCUUAAGUCUGAUGUGAAAGCCCCCGGCUCAACCGGGGAGGGUCAUUGGAAACUGGGAAACUUGAGUGCAGAAGAGGAGAGUGGAAUUCCACGUGUAGCGGUGAAAUGCGUAGAGAUGUGGAGGAACACCAGUGGCGAAGGCGACUCUCUGGUCUGUAACUGACGCUGAGGCGCGAAAGCGUGGGGAGCGAACAGGAUUAGAUACCCUGGUAGUCCACGCCGUAAACGAUGAGUGCUAAGUGUUAGAGGGUUUCCGCCCUUUAGUGCUGCAGCUAACGCAUUAAGCACUCCGCCUGGGGAGUACGGUCGCAAGACUGAAACUCAAAGGAAUUGACGGGGGCCCGCACAAGCGGUGGAGCAUGUGGUUUAAUUCGAAGC